AAUGUGGAUGGUGUUUAGUCCCAAGGACAAGGCUUUUUGCCUGUGUGUUGAUGGUGUUCAGCACCAAGGACAAGUCUGUUUACCC
rnacentral:pre_miRNA from 1 species